AUCUAGUAUCUAUCCCAAAGACCAGGGAGAAAGGAAGGAAAGAUUCUGGUUCUGUCCUCUUCCCCAAGGCAAGGCUGGCUGCCCUACCAACAGAGGCAAAGAGAAGAGUGUGCAAGGCUGGCUGCCCUCCCAACAGAGGCAAAGAGGAGUGUGUGUUGAAAUAUCCAUUGAAUCCCUGAGACAACUGGAUCCUGGCCCAUUGAAUCAUAAACUCAGCAGAAUCUCACAUCAUAACCCCAAAUGACCUGUUACUCACCAUGUGGCCCAGCUGUCUUCAAACUCACCAGCCUCCUGCCUUAGCCUUCUAAAUGCUUGGAUUACAGGCAUGACCCACCAUAACUGGCUUUGUUUUAGUUUCAGAGAAGAUGAAACUGAUGUGCGUCAAAAAGUUAUGGAGGCUGGGAAGACCUAGAAUGUGGCAUCACUAUUUGCUUCGACAAUUCUGUGGAGAUAAACUUUCAGUAGACGUGGAGCAGAUUAUCACAGUUGAAUUGUGCUGAGAGAAGAGCUGAAAUGACUAAGCUCACAGGAAAACUACCAAAGGGCGUUACUGAAUGUCCAGUUUACAGUCUCCAAAGGGGAGCUGCCUCUGCUGGUGGUGAUGCAUGGAACAUGGCUUUAUUGUGUGAACCUUGGAAAUGGACACCAGAGAGUCCUGGACUUGUAGUCGGUGUAGCAGAAGUUGAUCUGGGGCCGAGGUCUUAAGAUUUCUGAGGCUCAAGACAUGAGUAAUAGAUUGCUAGUCUUUCCAUGGAUGAGAACCGGCAAAAUCUCUAAGUGAGAAAUCACAUCAUCUAUAGUUCAAAGCAGAGUUCCUAUUCCAAUGAGAAAGAAUACUCAUCAGAAGGUCAAGGCAUGCAACCAACCAAUCCAUACGAUGUGUUCCAAUAUGCUCAACUCUGCUCUCAAUGUUUUGCAGCAUGUCAGAAUGUAAACUUAACAGCAACCUCUGAGGUGUUAAAUACAGACAAGUCAAAGUAGAUUAAAUCUAUUUCAACAUAAAGAUUUGAACAUGGCACUCUGCCCCGGAAAUGCAUGUGACCCCCUCAAUAUGCUGCCUUUGCUGCACAACUGUCUUUUUGUACUCUUGUAAUGUUGAUGGCUUGUGCAUCAUCAAAACCAAACAAACGUCUGUUGGACUGACAGACGAUUAAGAGUCAAUGUCUGAGUGGAGGAUAAAUGUGAGAAACUCCACUAGGAGGAGACAACCUUUCCUCCAUCAAAAAGACAGCGCUAAGAAUCCUUACCAUUGUAAUCUGGUCCAUAGAGAGAGCAGCAUCCUUUCCCUAACGAUUACCCAUUUCCUAUUAGCAAAUGACUCCUGUGAUGCUUCCCCAGCUAAAAUAGGACCCAAAUUGGCUAAGUACCAUAGACAAUAUGUGCAAUUCUGUUUUUAAAAAUCACCAGAAGUAAAAGGGUCCAUUCAAAUAAAUGGAACAAGAAUGUCCUGAGCCAAACGUGGAA
rnacentral:lncRNA from 1 species